rnacentral:rRNA from 1 species
UACGGGGGGGGGCAAGCGUUGUUCGGAAUUACUGGGCGUAAAGGGCGCGUAGGCGGCCUUCUAAGUCGGACGUGAAAUCCCUCGGCUUAACCGAGGAACUGCGUCCGAUACUGAAAGGCUUGAAUCCGGGAGAGGGAUGUGGAAUUCCUAGUGUAGGAGUGAAAUCCGUAGAUAUUAGGAGGAACACCGGUGGCGAAGGCGGCUACCUGGACCGAUAUUGACGCUGAGACGCGAAAGCGUGGGUAGCAAACAGG